GAAACGUAGUCUCAGAAACGUAGCCAAUUUUAGUUGUAUUUCGUAUGUAUUUAAGCUUAUUAUUUAAGUUGAUUUGAAUUUAAUUCGAACGCCAAAUCGCAGGACUCCAAAUAUGUUUAGGUUAAGUCUGAGGAUACUUAUGUUAACACAGUUGCCAAGUACUUGUGAUGCGCACAGAAUGCUCUUAAUGUAAAAAUAGAACUGGUCAUAAAUGUCCGAGAGUGUUAGAGAAGGAUUUCAAGAUCCAUUAGGCAGACCAAUCAACCCGACAGUCCAACCAACCCCUCUGUCAGCUAAUCAACCUCUCUAUACUUUCCCCUUGUAGUAAAAAAUGACUUCAAGUACCCCAUUUAAAGACCAAUAAGGCGUACAUAAUCGACCUGCUCAUAAUGUAAGUCAACAGUAUGGCCUGUCAGGGUGGCGACAAGAAAAGAAAAGCAAAAACCCAUUGAAAGCAUGUCCCAAAAAACUACUUGAAAGGAAGCACGAAACUGUACAGGAAAGCCCCUUCUAAAAGGCAGGCAGAAAGGGAAUGUAAGUGUGAGUGUGAGAGACUGUGCAAUUAUGUGGCGGCGUCGUCCAGCUCGAAGAAUUACAGCAAUUAACGGGGCAUCCACAUGCAAAUGCAAUGUCACUGAGCUGAGUCACGGAACGACAGGUGGAGUAUAGAGUGCAAAAGAGAGAGAACCGGCUCCAAGGGAGAGAAUGAAUGCCGGUAGUGUUAGGACGCCACUUGGGUUGGUUGUCAUGGCGAAAAUGCAAGGUAAACAGAGAGAAAGAGAGUGAGUGAGCGCGGAGACUUGCAUUCGAUAAGGAAGAAGGGGUUGAAAAAGCCCGCCCAGUGGAGCAUAACGAAAGCACAAGUGAACUGAGAAUUGCAUGUGAGAGAAAGCAGAAAGAGCAGGGAGAGCGGGAGGAGCCAUAGUCUGGAGUCUUCAAAGGUGUAUUAACAUGCGGUGAGGCAUUUUCUAUCACUAUAUUGAAACCCACUUUGAACACUAUAUAAUGUAAGAGGAAGAAUGGAUCUCUUUCUGAGAAUGCUUUACCCUCUCACUAAGUACCCUGUGGAUUACACUCAUCAAUUUAACCGUCCAUUGAGAUGAGCUGGGGCGCGUGCGCCAUGGAGUGAUUCUCGUUACCCAUCGCCUGUCCCGUCGUCUGUGUGGCUGCUUUCCGUUUCUUUUGUGCUUCUUUUUAUGUUGUGUUGUAUGGCGGCAAAGAGAAGCUUCAAUCGAAACGCUUGACGAGUGAUGUGGAAACAUUUUCAACGCAACACAGCACGGGCCGAGAGACGUCACCAGUCCAGAGAGUGGCUUCCACUCUCCACCACCAAGAGCACAUGUGUGUGUGUGUGAGAAUGUAUGCAGGUGGAGCAUAAGUCCGAACGGAACGGAACGCACACCGGCUUUACCUUACAGGCUGUUGCUGCUGCUGCUACUCUUUCUGUUUGCCUCACCUGGCGGUUGUUAGGGGGCAUGGCUCGGCUCGGCUCGGCUUGGCCCGUUCCCUGGUUGUGGCAACAUUAUGGAAAAUCAGUUUGUGUUUGGAUCGUGAUGAGCUCGUGCGGCGCGACGGAGUGGUAGCAAAUGUGCCUCGCCUGGAUAACUCUUAGCUCAAACUUCCAUCUUUGUGAUGUGUGCCCCUAACAGCAGUGCAAAGUUGAAGAAUCUAUAAUGCCAAAAAGGAAUAGCCCUUAAGCGACAAAGUGCAGAUACAAGGAUACAAGAAAUACAUUCCAAGGAAUAGGUUUUAAUUGUGACUGUGCUUAAAGAGCACACAACAAAAGAAAACCUUCCCAUAAAUUCCAUUAGAGAACGUUUAUAUAGAACAUCACUGAUAUAACGAAAUUUAGUGGCUGUCAUAGAAAGGAAACAUGCAAUAAAGAGGAGACUUUAAUUAUGGAAAGUGUAAAGAAAUUGCAAGUGAACAAAGAUCGCUAGAAGAAUAAAGAAAACUAUAUGGUUUGUGUGGAGCUAAAGACUUGGUUAUUGGUUAAUCGGAAUACAAUAUACAUUGCUUUGCAAAAUGUGGAUAAAACAUCAUUGGAUAUGCUACCUGAUUGCCGUGUUCUGCUGGCUAGAUAAGGCCACCAUUGGAGCGAUACUGGACUCGCGCUGCUAUCUGGAGGGUGGCGGCUCGGCGGAGAGUUUCCUGGCCACCGAAGAUCUGGAGGUGGGCUCCAUAAUUGGCAAACUGCGCAUCAAUGGCGAUCCAAAUGCAGAGACUGGCGACAUCACCCUGUCGCUGAGGGAGAAGACUGCGCCCGUUGAGAUUUUGGCAGGGAGCAAGGACCUGGCCUUGUCUGUGGAACUGGACAAGGAGGGUGUCAGAGGUCCCUCGUCGAUAUAUGUAAAUGUUAUAUGCAUAAGGAGGCAUUCAACGGAUCCGAGCUUCGUCAUCCCCGUCAAUGUGCGCGUGACGGACGUCAAUGAUAAUGCCCCCCAGUGGAUUGGCACCCCCUACACGCUGACCCUGUCCGAGGUGACGGUCCCAGGGACAAGGAUACUGCAGGGAGCCCGUGCCGAGGAUGCCGAUCAGCCAGGUCCCUUCUCCACCGUCGAGUAUCAGGUGCUGCCCGGACCCUAUGCGGAGUUCGUGCAGUUCCUCAAUCCCCUAGAGGGCACUCUGGUGCUGAGGAAGGCUCUGGACUACGAGCAGUUGCAGAAUUUCACGGUGAAGCUGAGGGCCCAGGAUCAGGGAACGCCGGCACGCCACUCGGACACAUUGCUGCGCGUGGUAAUCACCGAUGCGGACGAUCAGAAUCCCAAGUUCCAGCGGGAAUCCUACAGCGCAGAGCUGCCCAAUGAUGGUCGUCCCGGAGAACUGCGCAUGCGCCCCGAGCCCCUCAAGGCCGUGGAUCAGGACGAGGGCAUCUGUGCGCCCAUUCAAUACACCAUUGUCCAGUCGCAGGACGCCAAGUACUUCCGCAUCCAUCCGCACAACGGACAGAUCACCCUGCUGACGCCCAUUGGCUAUGGGGAGAUCGCUCACGGGGCCACGCUGGUUGUAAAGGCCACGCAGAUCGACAAUCCCGAUCGCUAUGCCCUGACCACAGUCCAGCUAACGCGCCCUGGCAGCCACAGCGAUCUCAGCACGCUCUCCUUUGUCCAAAAGCGCUUCGUGAUGCGCAUUCGCGAGGACACGGCUGUGGGCAAUCGUAUCCUGGCGCUGCCCACAAACAAGCCGGGAAAACACUUGAAAUACACCAUACCAGAUCCCGUCAACUCUCAGUUCUUCAGCGUGGGAUCGCUAGGCGAACUGGUGCUGGCCAAGCCGCUUGACUACGAGAAGAUGACAAAGCACGAGUUCCAGGUGCUGGCCACCGAUGGGAUGACCAACAGCACAGCGGAACUGACUCUAGAGGUGAUUGAUGUUAACGACUGGGAGCCGCGAUUCCGUGAGACCCACUACGAGUUUAUGGUGCCGAAAAGCCAGUCGCUGCAGUCGCGCACGGACACCUUUGAGGGUGUACUGAUUGGCAAGGUGGAGGCUGCCGAUGGGGAUCGCAAUGACAAGCUGGAGCUAUCUCUGCGCGGCCAGCAUGCCGGGCUCUUUGAGAUCGAUGCCACUGGGAACAUCUACAUGCGGCCGGAGCAGCUGCAGAGCCUGAAUGAGUCGACGGUGCAUCUGAUAGCCAUUGCCACGGACACAGGAGUGCCGCCCAGGAGCACCUCUGUGCCAGUGAGCGUGACAAUGGAGGGACUGACGCUGGCCCAGUCCGGCUGGAACAGCAAUAUGCUGGGGAUGUUUGGCAUGAUUGUUGGCCUCUUCCUGAUGAUCAUCUUGGCCCUUACCUGCUACAUUGUGCGAUCCAAGAAGCAGGGUAAGAGCAGUGCCAGUGCCCUGGGUCUCGGCCGGAAUAGGGUCCACAGCCAGGCGCACAGCAGCGUUUCGUCCGCUAAUCUGGUGACCCACGAAAAGCUGGCAGGGAAUGGCAAUGGCGCCAGCGUGACCAGCGGCGGUGUCUCGGUGCUGCACAUGAAGCAUGGCGGGAACAUCACUAUGGCCAAUCCCAUGAACAACGGGUUGCAUCAUGUGGCCAGUGGCGCCAGCAGCAGCAUGGCUCUGGGCAGUUCCGCGGCUCUUCUGGAGCGGGAACGGGAGCGCGAGAGGGAGCGCCAGCGGGAGAGCUAUGCAGCCACAGUUCGCAUCUUCUUGCCAGGCAUCGUUUCGAGGGCCUCGGCCAAUGGCCAGCUGUACGAGGAGGACGAGAUCGAGCACGACUCUCUGCAGACGUCGACGACGACGCCGGAGAACAACAAUCGGAAAGUGCCGGCCCCAGUAGGAGCUGUGGGUGGUGCAAUGGGUGGAAAUGGUGUCACCACCAUCACCACCGCCUCGGCCAAUGCAGGCCAGUCCAAUCUGCUGUCUGCCACCGAUGCCAUGGGCUCCUCGGAGAACAAUCUGACGGUCUACUUCUAGAAGCUGGGGGGAGGAUGGAGGUGAUGAAGAGGAGGAGUUGUAAAUAUCGCUGCUAAGUCAGUUUAGGAUUAGGAUUAAGGCCCCCAGCACUGUGCUAAGUCCAAGCGAUUUCCAUUGUAAAGUUUUUGCUUCCCAGAAGAGGUCCGAUCCCACAGAGAUCCCAGGGAAUUCCAGUUUUUCAGCUAAUCCAGAGCGCGCGAAACUUCUCGAAAUACAUGUAUGUUUAAAGAA